rnacentral:rRNA from 1 species
CCUACGUGAGGCAGCAGUGGGGAAUAUUGCACAAUGGGGGAAACCCUGAUGCAGCGACGCCGCGUGAGUGAAGAAGUAAUUCGUUAUGUAAAGCUCUAUCAGCAGGGAAGAAAAUGACGGUACCUGAGUAAGAAGCCCCGGCUAACUACGUGCCAGCAGCCGCGGUAAUACGUAGGGGGCAAGCGUUAUCCGGAUUUACUGGGUGUAAAGGGAGCGUAGACGGCAGUGCAGGUCUGGAGUGAAAGGCGGGGGCUCAACCCCCGGACUGCUCUGGAAACUGUACGGCUGGAGUGCAGGAGAGGUAAGUGGAAUUCCUAGUGUAGCGGUGAAAUGCGUAGAUAUUAGGAGGAACACCAGUGGCGAAGGCGGCUUACUGGACUGUAACUGACGUUGAGGCUCGAAAGCGUGGGGAGCAAACAGGAUUAGAUACCCCAGUAGUC